GUAGGUGGCAAGCGUUGUCCGGAAUUAUUGGGCGUAAAGCGCGCGCAGGCGGUUCUUUAAGUCUGAUGUGAAAGCCCACGGCUCAACCGUGGAGGGUCAUUGGAAACUGGAGAACUUGAGUACAGAAGAGGAAAGCGGAAUUCCACGUGUAGCGGUGAAAUGCGUAGAGAUGUGGAGGAACACCAGUGGCGAAGGCGGCUCUCUGGUCUGUAACUGACGCUGAGGCGCGAAAGCGUGGGGGGAGCAAACAGGAUUAGAUACCCUGGUAGUCCACGCCGUAAACGAUGAGUGCAAGUGUUAGGGGGUUUCCGCCCCUUAGUGCUGCAGCUAACGCAUUAAGCACUCCGCCUGGGAGUACGGCCGCAAGGCUA
rnacentral:rRNA from 1 species